rnacentral:piRNA from 1 species
GUGGAGUACUCAUUAGAGAUUUUUAAA